rnacentral:rRNA from 1 species
GACGAACGCUGGCGGCGCGCUUAACACAUGCAAGUCGAGCGAGAACCAGACCUUCGGCUCUGGGGAAAGCGGCGAACGGGUGAGUAACACGUGGGUAACCAACCCUUGGCACUGGGAUAGCCCGGGGAAACCCGGAGUAAUACCGGAUGGCCCAACAGCUCUUCGGGGCGGGUGGAAAUGGUAGCUUCGGCCUCCGGCCAAGGACGGGCCGGCGGCGGAUUAGCUUGUUUGUGGGGUAACGGCCCACCAAGGCGACGAUCCGUAGCUGGUCUGAGAGGACGAUCAGCCACACUGGGACUGAGACACGGCCCAGACUCCUACGGGAGGCAGCAGUGGGGAAUCUUGCGCAAUGGGCGAAAGCCUGACGCAGCGACGCCGCGUGGGGGAAGAAGGCUUUCGGGUUGUAAACCCCUUUCAGGAGGGACGAAGCCACUCGGGUGAAUAGCCCAGAGGGUGACGGUACCUCCAGAAGAAGCCCCGGCUAACUACGUGCCAGCCGCCGCAGUAAGAC